AUUGAACGCUGGCGGCAGGCCUAACACAUGCAAGUCGAACGAGCGGCGGACGGGUGAGUAAUGUCUGGGGAACUGCCCGAUAGAGGGGGAUAACUACUGGAAACGGUGGCUAAUACCGCAUACUAUCAGUUGACACCAAAUGGGAUUAGCUAGUAGGUGGGGUAAAGGCUCACCUAGGCGACGAUCUCGAGCUGGGCUGAGAGGAUGAUCAGCCACACUGGUACUGAGAAACGGCCCAGACUCCUACGGGAGGCAGCAGUGGGGAAUAUUGCGCAAUGGGGGCAACCCUGACGCAGCCAUGCCGCGUGAAUGAAGAAGGCCUUCGGGUUGUAAAGUUCUUUCGGUAGCGAGGCGUUACCGACAGAAGAAGCACCGGCUAACUCCGUGCCAGCAGCCGCGGUAAUUC
rnacentral:rRNA from 1 species